AUGCAUCUUGCAGAGGCACGCCCAGAUUUAAAGAAUGAGAAUAGGAUGAGGCCAUCAAAAGAGAGUCUAGAAGGAGAAAAAUGAAAGGAAACUGAAAAGUCAGGAGUUCAGCUAAGAAAUCAGGUGAGACAUGAAGUCUAUCUGAAUCACCCGCUGAGAUGUUGCCCAGUGCUGAGAUGUUGCCCCAGGCGGGGUCACCCGUCGUGUAGACGCUGCCUUUGUGCAGUUGAGGGAGCUAGCCCCUGCCGCACAAUGCGUAUUUAUAUUCACGUGUGCCUGCUGUGGGAGCAGGGCCGGAAGAUCAUCAUGAUGAGGGGAUCCCAGGGAACAUUGGGGAAGCCAGACUCUCGAGCAAGUGUGGUAUAAAAUCAGUGGUCUAGGACAUCUYGGAGCCCAUCCACCAAGCCUCUAUCAGUAGACGAGUCCAGAAGAAGGAACACCAGUCUUAAGCUCCAAAACAGCUCCGCCACCUCCCGAACUUCAUCUGCUUCCCCCAGCCAGGAGGACUCUCCACCGCCACAGGCUUCGCCAGAACCCUCUUCACCAAUGCCCAAAACGCAGCCAGAGUCAGAUAUGUCUCUCGAAUCGCAGCCUCCCACGCCGCCCGAACCGGAGUCCAGCAACCGGCGCAAGAAGUAUGAGCCUCCCGAAACCUGGGCUCAAAACCUGGGGCGUGAUGUCCGCGACAACCGGAGCUCCCUGUCGCCRGACGCGCACAGCUGCGAAUCCCGAGACUCGCACCACGGGCAGCCGCGGGAAUAUUCGCGCCCGACUCCCACGGAGUGGAAGGUCUAUCCCCAGCAUCAGCMUCGCACACCUUACCCUACCUCCAUCCAGAUGGAUGUCGACUGUAUGUUCGAAAUGCAACAGCAGAAGCUGCAGGAGGAAGACGAGCCCAGACCCAAGAAAGGCAUCACCAUCGCUGUGUCAUCUCGGGCACUCUUCAACAUGRUGGAUGACAGGAGAAUCUACGAGGAAGAAGGUCUGGAAAAGUACAUGGAAUACCAGCUCACCAACGAGAACGUCAUCCUGACGCCCGGGCCCGCGUUCCGCUUCGUCAAGGCCCUGCAGCAUGUCAAUGCUAGACUCCGAGAUCUGUAUCCUCACGAUCAGGAGUUAUUCGAUAUCGUACUGAUGACGAAUAACCACGCCCAGGUGGGGGUGCGCCUGAUAAACAGCGUCAAUCACUAUGGCCUCCUAAUUGACCGCUUCUGUUUCACGGGUGGGAAAAGUCCCAUUGGCUAUCUGAAGGCCUAUCUCACCAACUUGUAUCUUUCUGCGGAUUUUGAAAAAGUCCAAGAAGCCAUACAAGAAGGUAUUGCCUCGGCAACCAUGUUUGAUGGGGCCAAAGAUAUGCCUUACUGCGACAUUCAGCUCCGUGUGGCCGUGGACGGGGAUGCGGUCUUCUUCUCUGGUGAGUCGGAGCAGACUGCCAAAGAGCACAGGCGGGACAAAUUYUUCCAACACGAAACACUCUCUGAGAAUAAGCCCCUUGUUCAGAGUCCCCUGAAAGGCUUUCUGGAAGAUUUAGGCAGACUACAAAAGAAGUUUUAUGCCAARGAUGAACGGUUACUGUGUCCUAUCAGGACCUACCUGGUUACAGCCCGCAGUGCGGCCAGCUCAGGGGCCCGCAUGCUGAAGACKCUUCGCCGCUGGGGUCUAGAGAUAGACGAAGCUCUUUUUCUGGCGGGAGCCCCUAAAGGUCCCAUCUUGGUGAAGAUCCGGCCCCAUAUCUUCUUUGAUGACCGGUUGUUCCUCAUUGAAGGAGCCAAGAAAUUAGGCACCAUCACAGCUCAUGCACCUUAUGGAGCUGGCCAAAAUCCCAGAAAGUGGAAGAAAAGUCUUCCAGACAGACCCAAAGAGUCAAGGCAGAGAACUGCAACACUGCAGGAUAUUUGUGACAAAGGGGUGCCAAGACCACCUGCACUGCAGGGUCUUAGGAGCUGA